CAAACCGGUUCCCGUACGCUCAUCGAAGUUAAGCAACGUCGAACCUGGUCAUUACUUAGAUGGGUGACUUGAUGGGAAUCGCAGGUGUUGUAAG